rnacentral:rRNA from 1 species
GACGAACGCUGGCGGCGUGCUUAACACAUGCAAGUCGAACGGAAAGGCCCUGCUUUUGUUGGGGGCUCGAGUGGCGAACGGGUGAGUAACACGUGAGUAACCUGCCCUUGACUUUGGGAUAACUUCAGGAAACUGGGGCUAAUACCGGAUAGGAGCUCCUGCUGCAUGGUGGGGGUUGGAAAGUUUCGGCGGUUGGGGAUGGACUCGCGGCUUAUCAGCUUGUUGGUGGGGUAGUGGCUUACCAAGGCUUUGACGGGUAGCCGGCCUGAGAGGGUGACCGGCCACAUUGGGACUGAGAUACGGCCCAGACUCCUACGGGAGGCAGCAGUGGGGAAUAUUGCACAAUGGGCGGAAGCCUGAUGCAGCAACGCCGCGUGCGGGAUGACGGCCUUCGGGUUGUAAACCGCUUUCGCCUGUGACGAAGCGUGAGUGACGGUAAUGGGUAAAGAAGCACCGGCUAACUACGUG